rnacentral:rRNA from 1 species
UGGGGAUGACGUCAAGUCAUCAUGGCCCUUACGGCCUGGGCUACACACGUGCGUACAAUGGUCGGUACAAAGGGUUGCCAAGCCGCGAGGUGGAAGCUAAUCCCAUAAAACCGAUCGUAGUCCGGAUCGCAGUCUGCAACUCGACUGCGUGAAGUCGGAAUCGCUAGUAAUCGUGAAUCAGAAUGUCACGGUGAAUACGUUCCCGGGCCUU